CCCUAUUAUUAGGAUGAGAGAAAAAUUAGAGAGUAGGUGUCCAUUGAAAACAAUUCAGGGUGGCGGUUUUCUUUAUUCUCAGAUAAAUGUGUUUUUUAAAAACGAAACUGCACGAAUAUCUUUCUUACUUUUGAAAAUCCAUCCUGUACACCGCCGUCUGAAGGGUCAAAUUAGAAAAUUAACCCUAUUUCCUACUUUUUGGAAAUAAGUCAGGUAAGGUGCAGAUUAUGGGUAAGAGAAAAUGCAUUUCUUUAAAAAAAUUCAAGAGGAAAAUUGAAAAAGGUCCUUAAGAGGAAUUUGACAGUAAGGUUUUUUAAUCAUAAAAAUCUGAACUUAUAACAAGAAAAUGUACACAUCGCCCG
rnacentral:rRNA from 1 species